rnacentral:rRNA from 1 species
ACUACCAUACCAUCCUGAACACACCAAAUGUUGUCUGAUAUUGGAAGCUAAUGAGGGAUAAGCCUGGUUAGUACUUGGAUGGGGGACCACCAGGAAACAACAGAGAUUU